AUUGAACGCUGGCGGCAUGCCUUACACAUGCAAGUCGAACGGUAACAGGUCUUCGGAUGCUGACGAGUGGCGAACGGGCGAGUAAUACACCGGAACGUGCCCGAUCGUGGGGGAUAACGGAGCGAAAGCUUUGCUAAUACCGCAUACGAUAUACGGAUGAAAGCCGGGGACCGCAAGGCCUUGCGCCGGCGGAGCGGCCGAGGGCAGCUUAGGUAGUUGGUGGGAUAAAAGCUUACCAAGCCGACGAUCGGUAGCUGGUCUGAGAGGACGACCAGCCACACUGGGACUGAGACACGGCCCAGACUCCUACGGGAGGCAGCAGUGGGGAAUUUUGGACAAUGGGCGAAAGCCUGAUCCAGCCAUGCCGCGUGCAGGAUGAAGGCCUUCGGGUUUUAAACUGCUUUUGUACGGAACGAAAAGACUCUUUCUAAUAAAGAGGGUCCAUGACGGUACCGUAAGAAUAAGCACCGGCUAACUACGUG
rnacentral:rRNA from 1 species